UGGAGCUUAAGAAUAGUGCUGGAAGAUUUCGGGGCUGGAGGAAUAGUGGCGGCGCUUGUAUCAACACGCCAUCACCACUUAUGACGCUUAGAACCACGCACCGCCACUGCUGGAGAGAUAGAAAACAAGGUGGAUCUAAAACAUAUUCUUUUUCUCUUAUAUCUUGUGCUUGCUGUGAGCGUCACCGUGACCUGCAAGUAAAGGAAAUCACACAGGCAAUUUGUUUUCAUCUAUUUUUUUCCUUUAUUCACAAAUUUGUUUCUUGGUUUUUUC
rnacentral:lncRNA from 1 species